UCACCCGGUCAUAGUAGGCGGGAAAACACCCGGACUCAUCUCGAACCCGGAAGUUAAGCCGCCUACGUUGGUAUGGC
rnacentral:rRNA from 1 species